AACGAACGCUGGCGGCAGGCCUAACACAUGCAAGUCGAGCGCGCCUUCGGGUGAGCGGCGGACGGGUGAGUAACACGUGGGAAUAUGCCUUUCGGUGCGGAAUAGUCUUGGGAAACUGAGGGUAAUACCGCAUAUGCCCCUUGGGGGAAAGAUUUAUCGCCGAAAGAUUAGCCCGCGUUGGAUUAGGUAGUUGGUGGGGUAAUGGCCUACCAAGCCGACGAUCCAUAGCUGGUUUGAGAGGAUGAUCAGCCACACUGGGACUGAGACACGGCCCAGACUCCUACGGGAGGCAGCAGUGGGGAAUCUUAGACAAUGGGGGCAACCCUGAUCUAGCCAUGCCGCGUGAGUGAUGAAGGCCUUAGGGUUGUAAAGCUCUUUCAGCUGGGAAGAUAAUGACGUACCAGCAGAAGAGC
rnacentral:rRNA from 1 species